rnacentral:rRNA from 1 species
UACGGAGGGGGCAAGCGUUGUCCGGACUUACUGGGCGUAAAGGGUGCGUAGGUGGCUUGCCACGUCGGUGCUGAAAGCGCCCGGCUUAACCGGGCGAGGCGUGCCGAUACGAGCGAGCUCGAGCCUCGGAGAGGGCGGUGGAACUCCUGGUGUAGUGGUGAAAUGCGUAGAUAUCAGGAAGAACACCCGUACGCGCAAGCGACCGCCUGGCCGAGUGCUGACACUGAGGCACGAAAGCGUGGGGAGCGAACCGG